GCUUAAUGGGCUGACUCCUUCUUCAUCCUUCUUCAUCUUCAUAAUCUUUUUUAAGCCCACAUCGGCCCAACUAUUCCAACUUCCUAAUCGGCCGAUCACCUCUUUGGCAUGGGGGUAACCGAUCAGGACCCACACAUCAAGGGCUCAGACUCAUCUCGACCCUGGGGACUAAGGUCGGACGAGGCGGAGAUCCUCCCUUAGGGGUCGGGCGCGUCCGAUCUCAAGUCCCAGGGGUCGGGCGAGGCGGAGAUCCUUCUUUGGCGGUCGGGCGCGUCCGACCCCAAGCCUCAGGGGUCGGGCGAGGCGGAGAUCCUCCCUUGGGGGUCGGGUGCGUCCAACCCCAAGCCUCAGGGGUCGGGCGAGGCGGAACUCCAAGGACCAAUCUGCCGAUCCUCGACUGUAACAUCAAUGGGCCGAUCCUUGACUGUAACACCAAUCGGCCGAUUUCCAAUUAUCGCCCUUGUAUCUCGCUGCAUCUUCCGAUCUCCUCUUCUCCUAACGCCGAUUUUACACGUGUCAAAAUCUGGCGUCAACACAUGCCCCCCAGUUUCGGAGUAAAACAUAGUCUUUACUUCGAAAUUCUUUUCAACUUCCCAUCCGAAACAAACGCCACAAAAACGUCCUUCCAUUUCGCGGUCUCCAACCUGAUGAUUGCAAUCUUUUCGAAACGGGCGCCCACGACAACCACUACUCCCGAAAAACUUGAAACGCCGGCGCGGUAAAAAUUCUGCUUUUACCCCUUCUCAAACCUUCUUUAAAUAUCAGCACAUCCCGUACUCCUUACGAGCUCAACGUCCUUCUUCUCCAGCGCACAGGCUUUCUUCUUCGUCCAACACUUUCCUCAAUCCUCCAAUUCUCC
rnacentral:lncRNA from 1 species